UGCAUACCCCCUCCGUCCGAAAAAGCUUGUCCCUCAAAUGGAUGUAUCUAGCACCAAGUUAGUGCUGGAUACAUCCAUUUGAGGGACAAGCUUUUUCAGACAGAGGGAGUACAUA
rnacentral:pre_miRNA from 1 species